UACGGGGGGGGUAAGCGUUGUUCGGAAUUACUGGGCGUAAAGGGCUCGUAGGCGGCCAACUAAGUCAUACGUGAAAUCCCUCAGCUUAACUGGGGAACUGCGUGUGAUACUGGAUGGCUUGGAUUUGGGAGAGGGAUGCGGAAUUCCAGGUGUAGCGGCGAAAUGCGUAGAUAUCUGGAGGAACACCGGUGGCGAAGGCGGCUCUCUGGACCACAACUGACGCUGAGGCGCGAAAGCUAGGGGAGCAAACAGG
rnacentral:rRNA from 1 species